rnacentral:rRNA from 1 species
CACACUAUCAUUAACUGAAUCCAUAGGUUAAUGAGGCGAACCGGGGGAACUGAAACAUCUAAGUACCCCGAGGAAAAGAAAUCAACCGAGAUUCCCCCAGUAGCGGCGAGCGAACGGGGAGCAGCCCAGAGCCUGAAUCAGUAUGUGUGUUAGUGGAAGCGUCUGGAAAGGCGCGCGAUACAGGGUGACAGCCCCGUACACAAAAAUGCACAUACUGUGAGCUCGAUGAGUAGGGCGGGACACGUGGUA